UCACCUAACCGUUGUGCUGGGAAACUCUUGGCUAGAGAACUACGUUGGUAUUUUUGAGGGCGAGACUUUAUGCAAAAUCCAUUAAAGACCCAAAAUGAAAUCAUGUAGUCGGGAAACAAAUGCUCUUAGCGCUGAACCAACUUUCAGUCCUGGUGAGAAUAGACUUAGGCAUGGAUUCCCGCAGUGGGUUUUGCGGAAAAGGAAGGAUUAGCUAAAAACUUAAUUCUUGCCGAUGUUAUAGAAAACUACUUGAAAGCUGCCUACUAGAUUAUAUGGCGAAUUUUAGAAACUUUAUUCUGCUUUCUGCUAUGUUAGGACUCGUUACUCAAUAACAUUUCUUUCUCUAUAAGAUGUAAUCUCGUAGAGCAUAAUGCAAGUGUUUAAAUUUAACUCUCUCCCUUAAAAGGAAUAUAAAAGGGAACAUGACAGCUAAUGAAACAGUCUUUUAUAAUAAUAAAAAAAUGAUUUCCCACCACGCUAAGUGGGAGCCCACCUUAAAGUACAGGAAACUUUUGACCUUUUAACUAGGAUAGCUCGGAGGUUUGAGGGCCCGGACCCUUACUUUUUUUUCGGAGACCCUGUGGACCACUAGAUCCCUUUGGACUUAGGUCUUAGAUGAGCUCAAAGCCUUCGGGAAAUUAAACGCGUCCUUCCCCUCGCAAGCGAUGGACCCUUGUUCUGUCAUGAUCGAUUGCAACUUCAAAAAAAAGCGCCGCCAGUUGGAGGUAUUUUUCAUAUGAAAUUUUUUAGCUGAACUUCAUUACCCCAACAUAUCCGUGCAAAACUUAG